rnacentral:rRNA from 1 species
CCUACGGGAGGCUGCAGUGGGGGAUAUUGGACAAUGGGGUGACCCCUGAUCCAGCGACGCCGCGUGAGUGAAGAAGUAUCUCGGUAUGUAAAGCUCUAUCAGCAGGGAAGCAAAAAUGACGGUACCUGAGUAAGAAGCCCCGGCUAAGUACGGGCCAGCAGCCGCGGUAAUACGUAGGGGGCACGCGUUAUCCGGAAUUACUGGGUGUAAAGGGAGCGUAGACGGUGAUGUAAGUCUGGAGUGAAAGGCGGGGGCCCAACCCCGUACUGCUCUGGAAACUAUGUGACUGGAGUGCAGGAGAGGUGAGAGGAAUGCGUAGUGUAGCGGUGAAAUGCGUAGAUAUUAGGAGGAACACCAGUGGCGAAGGCGGCUCACUGGAGUGUAACUGACGUUGAGGCUCGAAAGCGUGGGGAGCAAACAGGAUUAGAUACCCGGGUAGUC